rnacentral:rRNA from 1 species
UUUUAUGGAGAGUUUGAUCCUGGCUCAGGAUGAACGCUGGCGGCGUGCCUAAUACAUGCAAGUCGAGCGAACGGACGAGAAGCUUGCUUCUCUGAUGUUAGCGGCGGACGGGUGAGUAACACGUGGAUAACCUACCUAUAAGACUGGGAUAACUUCGGGAAACCGGAGCUAAUACCGGAUAAUAUUUUGAACCGCAUGGUUCAAAAGUGAAAGACGGUCUUGCUGUCACUUAUAGAUGGAUCCGCGCUGCAUUAGCUAGUUGGUAAGGUAACGGCUUACCAAGGCAACGRUGCAUAGCCGACCUGAGAGGGUGAUCGGCCACACUGGAACUGAGACACGGUCCAGACUCCUACGGGAGGCAGCAGUAGGGAAUCUUCCGCAAUGGGCGAAAGCC